rnacentral:lncRNA from 1 species
GGAACUAAUAUCUCUCUCCUAACUACUUUGCAAGCCCCAUAAAAAUGCUUUGGGGUACCAGAAUCUCCUUUCAACUCCUUAACUGAACCAGAUGUCCUAGAUGUCAGAGGAACUGGUUCUACCACUCAGAGCUUGCUGGCUGUGUUUGGAGGAGUCUCUGCAGCCAUUGGAAGGGAGAGUGGGCUGGGGUUGAUUUAUGAGUUGACAAUACCAUACUCAUUAAAGCUUAAAGUGGUGCCUAGCAGCUACCAAGAGCAUUACCCAACCCCUCUCAAAUGCUUCUAACAGACCUUCCAAAAAGAAAAAAAUAAAAAGAUGACCAUCAAAUGUAAGGGGACUGGUUUGAAGGGCUUACAUCUGGCUGUCGGGUGUCUUGAUCAUGGAGGCUGGUUACUGGUGGUUUGUUGUGGAGUGUUCUGGGGCUAGGGUUUAUUUUAAUAAAAGUGCUUGUCUCAUGGAGACGUAAUAUCCUAUUUCCUAUCUGACUUUGUCAGCA